UACGAAGGGUGCAAGCGUUACUCGGAAUUACUGGGCGUAAAGCGUGCGUAGGUGGUUUGUUAAGUCUGUUGUGAAAGCCCCGGGCUCAACCUGGGAAUGGCAAUGGAUACUGGCAAGCUAGAGUGCGGUAGAGGGUAGUGGAAUUCCCGGUGUAGCGGUGAAAUGCGUAGAGAUCGGGAGGAACACCAGUGGCGAAGGCGGCUACCUGGGACGUUACUGACGCUGAGACGCGAAAGCGUGGGGAGCAAACAGG
rnacentral:rRNA from 1 species